ACCUGGUUGGCUCAGCGAGAAGAGCACGAGACUCUUGAUCUUGGGGUUGUGGGUUCAAGUCCCACGUUGGGUG
rnacentral:tRNA from 1 species